AUACCAUGGUGAGGGCACUUUUGUAAUAACUCCUCGAGUCGUUCCCUUGCCUCAUAUAAAGGUUCUCCGUCAAGUUGCUGAAAUGAAGUGAUUUCAUGUCAGAGCUU
rfam:Gossypium hirsutum cultivar TM-1 chromosome 20, whole genome shotgun sequence